CAAAUAUGAUGUGCGUGCAAAUGUCCCUUGAAUGUGAAUAUAAGUCUAAAUUUAAACAGUAUUAUAUUAUAUAGAGCGAUCGUGUCUCUUUAGGGCGCUUGGAGGAAACCACGCAAUUCAUAUGGAUUACUUUAGCGAUGUUUUUUUGCGAUGAACUUUUUGAAACGUGAACAUCUUUGAUUAAUCUUUUCAUCGGAGGGACAUACAUCUCUCAGAUUUCAAUAAAAUAUCUCCGCUAUUCUUUCGAAGAUGAAGGAAAGUCUUAGAUGGUUUGGAGCAUCUUAAGGCUUCUGCGAGUGUGUAUGGCGUCUGGCUUCAGAACCUCACUGUGACUUCAGAUAAGAACAAAGAUUAAAUUGUAAGAAGGGUUGCUUAUAAAAGCAUACAGUACAUCUGAAACUGCUGAGACUGGUAAGGUUUUUGACUAUAUUUCCGACCAGGUACAUUGUUCUGUCAUUCUUAAAUAGAAAACAAAUCAUCAUUUGCCUUUUUUGUGUGUGUGCGUGUAAGAAAUAUUAACAUUUGUUGUUUUAUUAGAUCAGCUGCUAUAGAAGACAAAAUGAAAUCUGAGUGCAGAGACAAGCAAAGGAAUACUGCAAGACACUACUGACUAGGCUGUGCCCAGGUCUCCGGAACCUGCGACGACGCUCAGCUCCAUUGGCCCUUAGUCUGCGGCUUCGGAUCCACCAGCUCUGUCUCCAUCGGUCGGCCCCCAGAUGUCGGCAGCCACACCAUCUACAUCUUGGCUCCUCCCUCCCUCGACUCCGCCGUGUGUUGUCAGCACUGGGAUGCUCUGGGUCUGUGCCAUGUGCCAAACACCAUCUAAGCCGCCAGGGCAUCAUCGUCAUCCUCUCAUCACCAUCCCUACACCAUCUCCUUGUCCACCUCCAAAACCCCUCCAUCCCUCCCUAUUCUGUUGCUUGAAUUUUAUCAUCUUCAGUCUUUGCACACACAUCUA